CCCAUUAUCAAAUAUCUCAUGCAGAUGUCCCAACAAAUCCUUGGGAAAUCUCAUGCAAGCCAUUCCCUCCCUGUGUAGUCUUUUAGCCUCAGUACCUCACCAUAUAACAAAUACAGCACAGAAACAGAUCCUUCGGCCCUCCGAGUC